UGAAAGGAUGGAAGCUGCUGCUGUUGUUGGUGGUGCUGUUGAUGAUGAUGAUGAUGAUGAAUUAGCUUCCACAGGCUUUCUUGAACGGUUCCUGCCUCUAUGCAUGUGCCUCUCACAGUACUUGGAGUCUGGGUAAGCUUCUUUGGAGCACCUCCAUUUUUUUCCAUCAGUUCUCCUGCACCUCCCUGGCUCUGGGUCUGGUUUUCUGCCAAAACCCACCUGAAAACAGCCCCACCCUGCUGCAACCACCACAAGGCACCAUCAUUUUAAUUUUUGACCAAAAUCAUUCAACAAUAAAAGUAUAACUCACAUACAAAAAAGUAGUGCAACUCCAAUUUGGUUUUUUUUUUUUUUUUGCAGAUACUUACUGGGUUGGUGAGGGAAGAGGUGUGAAGCCAAAGAAGAAUCAAAGCUUGUUUUGACAGAAUAAAGGAGUUGAGGUGGGAUAGGAACUCCUGAAACCAUGUAUUUGAAGAUGAG
rnacentral:lncRNA from 1 species